rnacentral:rRNA from 1 species
GACGAACGCUGGCGGCGUGCUUAACACAUGCAAGUCGAGCGGUAAGGCCCUUUCGGGGGUACACGAGCGGCGAACGGGUGAGUAACACGUGGGUGACCUGCCCUCAGCUCUGGGAUAAGCCUGGGAAACCGGGUCUAAUACUGGAUAUGACUCCAUGACGCAUGUUGUGGGGUGGAAAGCCUUGUGCGGCUGAGGAUGGGCCCGCGGCCUAUCCAGCUUGUUGGUGGGGUGANGGCCUACCAAGGCGACGACGGGUAGCCGGCCUGAGAGGGCGACCGGCCACACUGGGACUGAGACACGGCCCAGACUCCUACGGGAGGCAGCAGUGGGGAAUCUUGCGCAAUGGGCGAAAGCCCUGACGCAGCGACGCCGCGUGAGGGAUGACGGCCUGGUU